rnacentral:rRNA from 1 species
CAUAGGUUAAUGAGGCGAACCGGGGGAACUGAAACAUCUAAGUACCCCGAGGAAAAGAAAUCAACCGAGAUUCCCCCAGUAGCGGCGAGCGAACGGGGAGCAGCCCAGAGCCUGAAUCAGUGUGUGUGUUAGUGGAAGCGUCUGGAAAGGCGCGCGAUACAGGGUGACAGCCCCGUACACAAAAAUGCACAUGCUGUGAGCUCGAUGAGUAGGGCGGGACACGUGGUAUCCUGUCUGAAUAUGGGGGGACCAUCCUCCAAGGCUAAAUACUCCUGACUGACCGAUAGUGAACCAGUACCGUGAGGGAAAGGCGAAAAGAACCCCGGCGAGGGGAGUGAAAAAGAACCUGAAACCGUGUACGUACAAGCAGUGGGAGCACGCUUAGGCGUGUGACUGCGUACCUUUUGUAUAAUGGGUCAGCGACUUAUAUUCUGUAGCAAGGUUAACCGAAUAGGGGAGCCGAAGGGAAACCGAGUCUUAACUGGGCGUUAAGUUGCAGGGUAUAGACCCGAAACCCGGUGAUCUAGCCAUGGGCAGGUUGAAGGUUGGGUAACACUAACUGGAGGACCGAACCGACUAAUGUUGAAAAAUUAGCGGAUGACUUGUGGCUGGGGGUGAAAGGCCAAUCAAACCGGGAGAUAGCUGGUUCUCCCCGAAAGCUAUUUAGGUAGCGCCUCGUGAAUUCAUCUCCGGGGGUAGAGCACUGUUUCGGCAAGGGGGUCAUCCCGACUUACCAACCCGAUGCAAACUGCGAAUACCGGAGAAUGUUAUCACGGGAGACACACGGCGGGUGCUAACGUCCGUCGUGAAGAGGGAAACAACCCAGACCGCCAGCUAAGGUCCCAAAGUCAUGGUUAAGUGGGAAACGAUGUGGGAAGGCCCAGACAGCCAGGAUGUUGGCUUAGAAGCAGCCAUCAUUUAAAGAAAGCGUAAUAGCUCACUGGUCGAGUCGGCCUGCGCGGAAGAUGUAACGGGGCUAAACCAUGCACCGAAGCUGCGGCAGCGACGCUUAUGCGUUGUUGGGUAGGGGAGCGUUCUGUAAGCCUGUGAAGGUGUACUGUGAGGUAUGCUGGAGGUAUCAGAAGUGCGAAUGCUGACAUAAGUAACGAUAAAGCGGGUGAAAAGCCCGCUCGCCGGAAGACCAAGGGUUCCUGUCCAACGUUAAUCGGGGCAGGGUGAGUCGACCCCUAAGGCGAGGCCGAAAGGCGUAGUCGAUGGGAAACAGGUUAAUAUUCCUGUACUUGGUGUUACUGCGAAGGGGGGACGGAGAAGGCUAUGUUGGCCGGGCGACGGUUGUCCCGGUUUAAGCGUGUAGGCUGGUUUUCCAGGCAAAUCCGGAAAAUC